AUUGAACGCUGGCGGCAUGCCUUACACAUGCAAGUCGAACGGCAGCACGGGAGCAAUCCUGGUGGCGAGUGGCGAACGGGUGAGUAAUGUAUCGGAACGUACCUUUCAGUGGGGGAUAACGUAGCGAAAGUUACGCUAAUACCGCAUAUUCUGUGAGCAGGAAAGCAGGGGAUCGCAAGACCUUGCGCUGAUUGAGCGGCCGAUAUCAGAUUAGCUAGUUGGUGAGGUAAAGGCUCACCAAGGCGACGAUCUGUAGCGGGUCUGAGAGGAUGAUCCGCCACACUGGAACUGAGACACGGUCCAGACUCCUACGGGAGGCAGCAGUGGGGAAUUUUUGGACAAUGGGCGCAAGCCUGAUCCAGCCAUGCCGCGUGAGUGAAG
rnacentral:rRNA from 1 species